AAUCUGGCUUAUGGAGGGGGAUAACUACUGNAAACGGUAGCUAAUACCGCAUAAGGUCUAAGGACAAAAGGGGGCGUAAGCUCUUGCCAUAAGAUGAGCCCAAGUGGGAUUAGGUAGUUGGUGAGGUAAUGGCUCACCAAGCCUGCGAUCUCUAGCUGGUCUGAGAGGAUGACCAGCCACACCGGGACUGAAACACGGCCCGGACUCCUACGGGAGGCAGCAGUGGGGAAUAUUGCGCAAUGGGGGGAACCCUGACGCACCCAUGCCGCGUGAAUGAAGAAGGCCUUCGGGUUGUAAAGUUCUUUCGGUGAUGAGGAAGGUGAUAAGGUUAAUACCCUUAUUAAUUGACGUUAGUCACAGAAGAAGCACCGGCUAACUCCGUGCCAGCAGCCGCGGUAAUACGGAGGGUGCGAGCGUUAAUCGGAAUAACUGGGCGUAAAGGGCACGCAGGCGGAUUUUUA
rnacentral:rRNA from 1 species